rnacentral:rRNA from 1 species
GAUGAACGCUGGCGGCGUGCCUAAUACAUGCAAGUCGAGCGAACGGACGAGAAGCUUGCUUCUCUGAUGUUAGCGGCGGGCGGGUGAGUAACACGUGGAUAACCUACCUAUAAGACUGGGAUAACUUCGGGAAACCGGAGCUAAUACCGGAUAAUAUUUUGAACCGCAUGGUUCAAAAGUGAAAGACGGUCUUGCUGUCACUUAUAGAUGGAUCCGCGCUGCAUUAGCUAGUUGGUAAGGUAACGGCUUACCAAGGCAACGAUGCAUAGCCGACCUGAGAGGGUGAUCGGCCACACUGGAACUGAGACACGGUCCAGACUCCUACGGGAGGCAGCAGUAGGGAAUCUUCCGCAAUGGGCGAAAGCCUGACGGAGCAACGCCGCGUGAGUGAUGAAGGUCUUCGGAUCGUAAAACUCUGUUAUUGGGGAAGAACAUAUGUGUAAGUAACUGUGCACAUCUUGACGGUACCUAAUCAGAAAGCCACGGCUAACUACGUGCCAGCAGCCGCGGUAAUACGUAGGUGGCAAGCGUUAUCCGGAAUUAUUGGGCGUAAAGCGCGCGUAGGCGGUUUUUUAAGUCUGAUGUGAAAGCCCACGGCUCAACCGUGGAGGGUCAUUGGAAACUGGAAAACUUGAGUGCAGAAGAGGAAAGUGGAAUUCCAUGUGUAGCGGUGAAAUGCGCAGAGAUAUGGAGGAACACCAGUGGGCGAAAGGCGACUUUCUGGUCUGUAACUGACGCUGAUGUGCGAAAGCGUGGGGAUCAAACAGGAUUAGAUACCCUGGUAGUCCACGCCGUAAACGAUGAGUGCUAAGUGUUAGGGGGUUUCCGCCCCUUAGUGCUGCAGCUAACGCAUUAAGCACUCCGCCUGGGGAGUACGACCGCAAGGUUGAAACUCAAAGGAAUUGACGGGGACCCGCACAAGCGGUGGAGCAUGUGGUUUAAUUCGAAGCAACGCGAAGAACCUUACCAAAUCUUGACAUCCUUUGACAACUCUAGAGAUAGAGCCUUCCCCUUCGGGGGACAAAGUGACAGGUGGUGCAUGGUUGUCGUCAGCUCGUGUCGUGAGAUGUUGGGUUAAGUCCCGCAACGAGCGCAACCCUUAAGCUUAGUUGCCAUCAUUAAGUUGGGCACUCUAAGUUGACUGCCGGUGACAAACCGGAGGAAGGUGGGGAUGACGUCAAAUCAUCAUGCCCCUUAUGAUUUGGGCUACACACGUGCUACAAUGGACAAUACAAAGGGCAGCGAAACCGCGAGGUCAAGCAAAUCCCAUAAAGUUGUUCUCAGUUCGGAUUGUAGUCUGCAACUCGACUACAUGAAGCUGGAAUCGCUAGUAAUCGUAGAUCAGCAUGCUACGGUGAAUACGUUCCCGGGUCU